AUUGAAAGCUGGCGGCAUGCUUUACACAUGCAAGUCGAACGGUAACAGGCCGCAAGGUGCUGACGAGUGGCGAACGGGUGAGUAAUGCAUCAGAACGUGCCCAGUCGUGGGGGAUAACGCAGCGAAAGCUGCGCUAAUACCGCAUACGAUCUGUGGAUGAAAGCGGGGGACCGUAAGGCCUCGCGCGAUUGGAGCGGCCGAUGUCAGAUUAGGUAGUUGGUGGGGUAAAGGCUCACCAAGCCAACGAUCUGUAGCUGGUCUGAGAGGACGACCAGCCACACUGGGACUGAGACACGGCCCAGACUCCUACGGGAGGCAGCAGUGGGGAAUUUUGGACAAUGGGCGCAAGCCUGAUCCAGCAAUGCCGCGUGCAGGAAGAAGGCCUUCGGGUUGUAAACUGCUUUUGUACGGAACGAAAAGGCUCUGGUUAAUACCUGGGGCUCAUGACGGUACCGUAAGAAUAAGCACCGGCUAACUACGUGCCAGCCGCCGCAGUAACAC
rnacentral:rRNA from 1 species